UACGUAGGGUGCGAGCGUUGUCCGGAAUUACUGGGCGUAAAGGGCUUGUAGGUGGUUUGUCGCGUUGUUCGUGAAAUGCCACAACUCAAUUGUGGGCGUGCGGGCGAUACGGGCAGACUGGAGUACUGCAGGGGAGACUGGAAUCCCUGGUGUAGCGGUGAAAUGCGCAGAUAUCAGGAGGAACACCGGUGGCGAAGGCGGGUCUCUGGGCAGUAACUGACGCUGAGGAGCGAAAGCGUGGGGAGCGAACAGG
rnacentral:rRNA from 1 species